rnacentral:rRNA from 1 species
UCAGAUUGAACGCUGGCGGCAGGCCUAACACAUGCAAGUCGAACGGUAACAGGAAGUGCUUGCACUUCGCUGACGAGUGGCGGACGGGUGAGUAAUGCUUGGGAACUUGCCUUUGCGAGGGGGAUAACAGUUGGAAACGACUGCUAAUACCGCAUAAUGUCUACGGACCAAACGGGGCUUCGGCUCCGGCGCAAAGAGAGGCCCAAGUGA